ACGAACGCUGGCGGCAUGCCUAACACAUGCAAGUCGAACGAGACCUUCGGGUCUAGUGGCGCACGGGUGCGUAACGCGUGGGAAUCUGCCCUUGGGUUCGGAAUAACAGUUGGAAACGACUGCUAAUACCGGAUGAUGACGUAAGUCCAAAGAUUUAUCGCCCAGGGAUGGGCCCGCGUAGGAUUAGCUAGUUGGUGGGGUAAAGGCCUACCAAGGCGACGAUCCUUAGCUGGUCUGAGAGGAUGAUCAGCCACACUGGGACUGAGACACGGCCCAGACUCCUACGGGAGGCAGCAGUGGGGAAUAUUGGACAAUGGGCGAAAGCCUGAUCCAGCAAUGCCGCGUGAGUGAUGAAGGCCUUAGGGUUGUAAAGCUCUUUUACCCGGGAUGAUAAUGACAGUACCGGGAGAAUAAGCCCCGGCUAACUCCGUG
rnacentral:rRNA from 1 species